UAUCAUCUUCUAUCUCCACGAAUCAGUCUACGAAUCAGUCUGUUCGUAUACGGGACGAACUCUGCCUGCGGAACUGUCCACGAAAAUCUCCGAUUUCGGCUCAGAUUUUAACCCCUUUGCCACGAAAUUUUGCCUAUAAAUACCCCAUAUACUCCUCAAUAUAUUGACCCCAAAAGCCUCAAUUUUUGCGCCGCCAGGCUGCGCAAAUUUCUCGCCGGAGAUCCGAUCUACACCCACCAUUGUUGGAGCUCGGAGAGCACUGGGACGCCGGUAAUUCCUCGCCGGAGUUUUCGCCGGAGUUCACCAUCGCCCGGAGCUCCAUUCGCCCGUAGCUGCCACCCGAGAGAGAGGAACACGACGGAAAAGACACCACUGUGACCGCUGUUGUCCGCUGCAUCUCGACGUCCACUUCGCCGCCGCCAAAAACCGUCGGAACCGUCGCCAAGUUCAUCGUCUGAACCGCCGUCGCCACCGUCAUCCAUUGAUUCCGAUUGCCCGAAGUGCAACGAUUGCGACUGCAACGAUUGUCUGAACAACACCCAAGGCAAGUGUCACACACCGUUCUGUCCUAUUAUUUCUCUAUGCACUUGGUAGUUAUUUUCAGUAGCUAUGUAUGUGUAGGACUUGUUUUUAAAUAUAUAUUGCUAUGCAAAAACCUAUCUAGGAUAGCCAUAUGUUUCAUGACAUAAUUCUUGUCGCCAUCGUAUUGUAGAAUGCUUAGCCCUGCUAUUUUAGAUGCGUGGAUUGGGAAUCACGAUGUGAUUUGUUUCGUUGGAAAUAUUGUUUUGAUGUAAUAAAACAACCUAAGAUAAUGAAUCAUCUGGGUGGAAGUGGUUUGCUUGGUUUAUGUUGAGUGGUUACACCGGAGCCAUGUCUAUGGCGGUCGCGUGUAUCACACUUGUGGUUGGCCACCCAGAAACAAAGAGAUUUGACAGGUUUCUGUUUUAGUAGCUUCCAGUACAACCACAUGUCAUAUGGGCUC